rnacentral:lncRNA from 1 species
UGUGGGAAUGGGGGAGUGGUGGAUGAGGGGGGUGCAAUUAAUGUGGCCUUUGUACAGAGCCCAUUACAAAUGGGUGGGAUUGGUUAUGUGCACAAGGUGGUUUUUAGGUAUGUGGAUGAGGGGAAAAGGAGAUCCCUGAGCCUCAUCAGAAAUAUAAAAAGAAAUUAUAACAUCAUUUGAGAUACAUGAAAGUUAAGCAGAAAAGGGAGAGUGGAAUGAAAUUCUCAAAAAAGAAAGCAAGUGUAGUAGUGCAAUAUUGCUGUGAUAAUACUGCAUGACAAGCAACCCUCACGAUAACAACCAUUUUUUUUCUUGCUCAUAGAUCUGUGGGUUGACUGUGUUGGCUCUGCUUCAGGCUAAGGGAAAGGUUCAGGUUUCCUCCAGUUGUUUCUCAUGUUGGGACCAGUGCCAACGGAGCAUGUUUAUCUUACGGUGGAUGGCAGAAGUGCAGGAAUGAAAGCCUCUGCUCCUAUCAUGUCUGCUUAGAUCCUAUUGGCCAAAUCAAGUCCCAUGCCUGAGCCCAACAACAGUGGUGUGGGGGAAGUAAACUCUUCCAAAUCUAGAGGCAGGUACUUACCACAAAAAAGUGGACAUAUGAUUUCUUUUCUUUGAGACAGGGUCUUACUCUGUUGCCCAAGCUGGAGUGCAGUGUUACAUCAUAGCUCUUUGCAGCCUCAAAUUCCUGGGCUCAAACUGUUCUCCCACCUCAGUCUCCCAAAGUGCUGCGAUUACAGGCAUGAGUCACCACACCUGGCCGUAUUAUUCUUUUAUACGGAGUGAAGAAUUGGGAAUAAAAUCCCAAUCUACCACCGCAGGAGAAGUCACAGAGAAAAAUACAGUCAGAGGAGGGGGUUCCUAUGAGUGUCCAGUCUCCAGCCAUGAUGACAUUAUCCCUUCAGACUACCUGAUCCUUUUGGGCUGCACUGAUACUCACCAAGGACCCUCCCUCCAACUCCACUCAUUAUUUCAUUUCACAAGUUCAGUUUUUUCCCCAUGUUCUCUUCUUUCCUCAUCUUUUCUUCCCCCCAAUCCUAUCUAAUAUCAGCCAGUAGAAUUAUCUUUCUUAGUAUCUACUUGGAUUGGGUCCCUAUAUCCAGGUAGAGACAGUGAGAAAAGCUAGUGAUUACUCUUUUCUUAGACAUGAACACCUGGACAUUCCCCAGUUGGUGGUUUAACUUCUCCCUCUUUGUUCCUCCAUUUAUUUUUUAAAAUAUUUAAGGAAGUCAAUGACUUACAGAACCUUUCAUGGGCACUUGGAUUAAAGAGAUACAAGAGGCAUAGUCCUUAUACUCCAGGAAAGAAGACCUGGAAUGUCUUACCUGAUGGCCUGGCAUUAAACAUGCCAGGACAGAGGGAUGUGCAGGAGGCUGUGAAAAUACACAAAAGCAUUGUGAGUUUGGAAGAGAGGGAAUGGAGAGGACUCUGAUUUUACCCCUACCUAUCCUUCCAGGAUGAUUCCUGGCACACAGCUCUCUGUCUCAGACCCGUUAAAUACAAUUAUUAGUGUGGUUAUUGUUUAUCUGCCUUUGCCAGUAGGCUGUAAACUCCGUGCACUUAGGGAUGUGCCUAUUUUGUUCAUUUUUGUUGUCUUAGUCCUUUUGGGCUUCUGUAACACAAUACCACAGCCUGGGUACCUUAUAAACAACAAUUUAUUUCUCAUGGUUUGGGAGUCUGAGAAGUCCAAGAUCAAGGCACCAACAGAUGUGAUAUCUGGGGAGGGACUGCUUUCUGGCUCUCAGAUGGCACCUUCGCUCUGUGUCCUCACAUGGUGGAAGGGGCAAGGCAGCUCUCUGUGGCCCCUUUCAUAAGGGCACUAAUCCCAUUAAUGAGGGUGAAACCCUCAUGACCUAAGCACUCCCAAAAGCCCCACCUCCUAAUAUUGUCACAUUGGCAAUGAGGCUUCAACAUAUGAGUUUGAGGGGGACAGCAGCAUUCAAA